GACGAACGCUGGCGGCGUGCUUAACACAUGCAAGUCGAGCGGUAAGGCCCUUUCGGGGUACACGAGCGGCGAACGGGUGAGUAACACGUGGGUGACCUGCCCUCAGCUCUGGGAUAAGCCUGGGAAACUGGGUCUAAUACCGGAUAUGACUCCAUGACGCAUGUUGUGGGGUGGAAAGCCUUGUGCGGCUGAGGAUGGGCCCGCGGCCUAUCAGCUUGUUGGUGGGGUGANGGCCUACCAAGGCGACGACGGGUAGCCGGCCUCGAGAGGGCGACCGGCCACACUGGGACUGAGACACGGCCCAGACUCUACGGGAGGCAGCAGUGGGGAAUCUUGCGCAAUGGGCGAAAG
rnacentral:rRNA from 1 species